CAAGGGACUAGACAUUUGCAUUCUGCUGUCAUUUUCGAGGGUCAAGACCUCCAUCAAAGAGAAGAAAAAUCAUGAAGAAAUUGCAAAACAAAACUCGCCCAAUUAAACAGCAUGCUGCUCAAAACUAUCCAAAUUUUGCUAUUUUGAUGGCCACUUCCCACUAUUAACAUCUCAAUGUAUAUACAAACAAGUCUACUAUUUUAACAUAACAAGUAGCCUGUAAAAUAUGUUAUUACUUCCUUUUUUGCAA